AUUGAACGCUGGCGGCAUGCUUUACACAUGCAAGUCGAACGGUAACAGGCCGCAAGGUGCUGACGAGUGGCGAACGGGUGAGUAAUGCAUCGGAACGUGCCCAGUCGUGGGGGAUAACUACUCGAAAGAGUAGCUAAUACCGCAUACGAUCUAUGGAUGAAAGCGGGGGACCGUAAGGCCUCGCGCGAUUGGAGCGGCCGAUGUCAGAUUAGGUAGUUGGUGGGGUAAAGGCUCACCAAGCCAACGAUCUGUAGCUGGUCUGAGAGGACGACCAGCCACACUGGGAAUGAGAAACGGCCCAGACUCCUAAGGGAGGCAGGAGUGGGGAAAUUUGGACAAUGGGCGCAAGCCUGAUCCAGCAAUGCCGCGUGCAGGAAGAAGGCCUUCGGGUUGUAAACUGCUUUUGUACGGAACGAAACGGCUCUGGUUAAUACCCGGGGCUAAUGACGGUACCGUAAGAAUAAGCACCGGCUAACUACGUG
rnacentral:rRNA from 1 species